CCAUUUUCUUUGUCAAAUGGUUGUUAUUUAUAAGAAGAGGUUGCAGACAAAACAAAGUGAUAAAAUAGACCCCAGGAGUGGCUAAUAUAAAAUAGAGUUGGGAGAGCAAUAGGUUACCAAGGAAUUGGGUUUGGAAGAAUCCAUUAAAGAAAUAAUGUCAUGAGACCAGAGUAAGCCAUUAAUUGCCAGGUUAGAUCCAUAGAGGAGUUUAGAAGACUAGCCAGAGUUAGCUAUAGUAAGGAGAAGAAUGCUGUUAAAGGAAAGAUACCAUGAGGGAGAGUACCUCCCUUAUAGCGGGUUUAAUCCAGAAAAGAACUUAGCAAAGAUCUUCACCAUGAAAAGCUCUUUUAUGGAGGAAAUAGAACUUUGGGGAUUUUUCAGGGGAGGAUCAGGAAAGAAAUUGGUGGCUCGAUGGGAGGGAUCAAGGAGGAGCCAGAUGAAAUGUGCCUGGCCAGCCAGGUCCCAGACCUAUCUAAAGAUAUGCCAAUAUUUCAAAGAUUGUUUAAAGUGUCCUGAGGUUUGAAGGGAUAAGACACACUAUCAUUUUAUACAAACAUGAUAGUCUGGGAUUUGGUUUUGCCUGUUGAUAGCAACUUGGGUUUCUUCCUGAUUAGGGAAGAGAGUAAGUUGAAAGUUCACAUCACUAUUACUGCCUCCUAAAAUUCUUUAGCCUUAACUGUCUCCCCUGCCUCUACACUGUCCAGACUCCUGGCACUAUUUCUCUUCUUGAUGUGGUUUUCAUUGCAGAGAGAUAACUCAUAUUACAAAUAAUAUUUUUAAAUGGGAAAAAAUAGAAAAAGGAAGAAAAAAUAAGCAAAAAGAAAGAUCAAUAUAUCAAAAAAGUCUCAAAAUAUGUGCAAUAUACCACACCUAUGAAUAUCCCACCUCUGUAAAGGAGUGAGGUUGGGAGUAUUUUCUCAUUUCUGAACUUUGGACCAUGAUUUUUUUUGGUAAAUUUUUAAUUUUUCCUUUUGGUUAUUUUGUAUUCUUUUAAAACUUGGUCACAUUAAUUCUGUUUAAUUUCAUUUACAUUAUUGUAGGCAUUAUUUAAUGUUUAUUUCAUUUUUCAAUAAUUCAUGUAGCUCCUUCCAAGCUUCUCUGUAUUCAUUGGAUUCCUAAUUUACAGCAUGGUAAUAUUCCAUUACAUUACUUAUGUAUCAAAAUUUGUUAAACUAUUCCCUAAUCAGUGGAUAUUGUUUCUAAUUCUUUUCUACCACAGAAAGUUUAAUCUAUUAUUAUUACUACUCCUACCUUAUCCUCCUCAGACCUAUUCUUUUUGUCACUUUAACUUACAGAACAUGCAUCAAUAGAAAUCAGAAAUUGUAUAGGGUUUUUCCAAGACAAAUUUACUAAAAAGUUUUGCAUUAUGAGGUCUGUAGAGAGGUUAUUGAGUGAUCCUGGGCAAUCCCUUUCCAGUACAUAUAAACUAUGUGGCACUUGCCACCCCUAUAAUUUCUGUCUCUGAAACAUCAGAUAUACAGGGAUAUACACCAACUUUUAGGCUUCCAAUUUUUUUCACUGAAAAAAAUACAUCCCAAAGUGUUGGGAUGACUUGUAUAUAUGCUUCUCUGAUGGACCACAGAGACUGUAGCUCUUCGAUAUUUUCAGGAGCUCUUUCCUGAAAGGUUAUUACGCCAGAACAUAAGACCCAGUGUUUGGGUUCACUAUUGUCAUGAUACAUCUGGGAUAUGACAAAACCUUAUUAAUUUCCAUAUUUCCAAUUAGGAUUUUAUCCCAUGUAUCCUUCUCAUAAGCAAGGAAGUAGAUAAUUCAAGCUAUAGACCUGUAACUUCCUCAUUUUCCUGAAGAGAACAGCUUAUUAAAGGGAUGACUUGUAAUCACUUAUAAAAGGAAGUAACAAUCGUUGUUAGCAUGACUAUGUGAAAAACACAUGACAAUUAUUAGCUAAUAGAUCAGAGGAAUAUAGUAGAGGAACUACUGUGGACAUCAAGAUUUCAGCUAGCAUUGAAUACCAACGAUUGAGUGAAUAUUGAUUGAAUACCCUCAUCAACAAAAUGGAGAGAUGAUAUUACGAGCAAAGAAUUCAUUAUUAAUGAAAAGACUGAGAUUGUGAUCCAUGCCACAGGUCCAUGUACUUGAUAAUACUCUGGCCAAAUUUUUGUCAUUAAUUUGUAGUGAGCCCUGAGAUCUUUUUAAUGGUAGAAUCUGAGUACCUUCACUUAUUUUUUCACUUUUUUACUCAACUUAAAAUUUUUUUAUCACAGCUGAUAAUAUAAUUACUCUUCACUUAAGGAAAGAAAAUAAGCCAAAAGAAAUAAACUUGUUAUAUAGCAAGACAGUAAUAAUAACAUUUAUAUAGGCUUUAAGAUUUUCAAAGUACUUUACAUUUUAUAAUCUUAUUUGAGACUCACACCAAAGCCCUAUGAGAUAGGCACUAUUAUCAUUUUUCAAGUGAGGAAACAAUGAGAAUGGUGAAGUACAUUGUUCAGGAUGACAUAUCUUUUAAAUAUAUGAAGCAAGAGUCAAACCCAGUACAAUUCUUUUCUGAUGCUCUUCUUCUUUACCCACUGUUACUCUGUUGAUAAAUUAGUAUAGGAUUCUUAAGUACAAAUUCUUAAUUUGUUUUUGCAGUAUAAUACCUAACUGAAGGCUGAAAUAUGUGGAAGAAGUUUGGGGCAUUGUUUGACACAUUAGAGAUAUAAACUUGAUGAGAAGUAAUUUAGGGUAACAGAUUUUUCGUGUUUGACAAAGUUGUAUUUACUUAAUAUAUAUUGCAUAAUAUUUCUUUAGACAUAUUUUCCAAGAAUCAAUUUUUCUACCUCUAAGCAACUAGCUGAUACAAUGCAUAGAGUUCUGGGACUUGGAAUCAGGAAGACCUGAGUUCACUUAUGACACUCAGAUACUGUGUGAUCUCGGACAAGUUAUUUAACUACUGCCCAUAUCAAUUUUCCUUAAAUGUAAAAUGGGGAUAAUGGCAUAUAUCUCCUUUGGUUGUUGUGAAGAUUAAAUAAGAUAAUAUUUGUAAGUGGUUAAUAUAUUCCUGGAUAAAGAGUAGGAGCUUCUUAUUCCCAUGGCCACAUAUGAGGUCCUGAGGAUGAGUUUGGCAGAUAAAGAAUGAAAUUAUUGUCCUGAGGCAGUCAAGGAGAGGCACUGAUGGGGAUAAGUUUAGAUUUGUAGUCCCACCCUUUGUGGAAGUUGUGGGCAACCCCACCUUGCUAUGACCAAUCAGAAAUCCGAGUUAUGUUGAGCACCUGGGGUUAAAUUUCCCCUAUAAAUCUGUCCAUAACUCAUGCCAUCUUUGUGGAAUCUCUCUUGGGGUAAUAGCCUAUCAGCACUCUGCCUCAUGGUGUCUUUCCCAUCAUCUCUCCUGUCAUGCC
ensembl:lncRNA